rnacentral:lncRNA from 1 species
UAUAUCACAUCUUGUUUUCUAACAGCAAUUAAUCCUUGAUCAAAAUGGCUUCUCUUCACUUCUAACAAAAAAGUGACCAGACGGACUACCAUCAUGUAGCAAUGCCAAAUUCACAAUUGAUUCAGCACCUUCAUCAGGUGUUAGAUAACCUGUAUUGUAAUUUAUAUCUGUUUUCACAAAGCCAGGACAAACAACAUUGAUGCAUAUUGAUGGAUACUUAAUAGCAACAACACUUGUAUAGGCAAUUAGAGAAGCUUUUGAGAUAAUGUAUGUAGACAUAUCAUUAUUAAUAGGCCAACCAUUGUUUUCUAGUGAACCCUCAUUAAAAUCGUUUAGAAAUUUAUUCAAAACUUCAUCAAUCUUUUCUUCUAUAAGGUUUUCAACAUCACUAAAUACUUCCUUAGGCCAUCCAUUUGGAAGAUUCUGCAAAUAAAAUUACAUGAAAAUGAGCAUCAUCUCCAAUAGCCUAAUAUAUCAAAAGGAAGAGUGAAUAUAUAAAUUGGUUCUCGAAAUUAUGAGCACCUAUCAAAAUAGUCUUCGAAUAUUACAAAUUGGUCAAAUGGAUCCUUCGUUAACUUUGUCUUAUUAGAGGUUAUGAUGUACUCCCUCUUGUAAAAUCUAUAAGCAACUAUUCUUUUUUCAGAUUCAUUAAACAACUUAUAUAUCAUACAUCAGUUGCUUAAUGAAUCUGAAAAAGAAAUAGUGGCUUAUAAAUGUUACUGGAGUGAGUAACAUGUUAAAUUAACACGUGGCCUUGUACAUAGAUGCCACAUAAAGGUCAUGUCACCAAAAACUUCUAUGACACGUUAAAUUCAUGUAUAUUUUUUUUCUUCAAAUUCAUUAAACAACUAUCAUUUAACAACUGAUGUAUGAUAGUUGUUUAAUGAACUUGAAAAAAGAAAUAAUAGCUUAUAAAUAUUAUUGGAGGGAGUAACAUGUUAAAUUAACACGCGACCUUGUACGCAGUUGCAACAUAAAGGUCAUGUCACCAAAAACUUCUACGCCAAAUUAAUUUCCAUCUUAUACUUCAUAUUUUAUUGCCACGUGAGCUCUAUGUAAGAGGCCAUGUUCAUUUAACGUAUCACGCGAUAGGAUUAGGGUCUGACAAUAGAUAGAAUUUAGUAGAGGGACAUUUUGACUGAUGUGUUACAUUUGUAGUUUCUAGAAAUGUAUUUGUCAAUACUUAAAAGUCAAAUAUAUUUUGAUUAAUGCUCACAAUUUGAAGAUUAAUUUGCCUAAUUAUUCUCAAAGUCAAACAACAUAUAUACUUCAGAUCAAAUCAAUGAAACAUUUAUCUCAGAAAAUUUUCAUUAGUUUAAGUUUCCAAAUUAGCUUCCAAAGUAGUGCCACAUACCUCCAACUUUCCCAUGGAUGAGGAAACAUUGACAACUUUUGGUGAGCUUGAAAGCUGGAGAAGGGGAAUAAAUGCUUCAGUUAAGUCCUUGGCUCCAUAAUAGUUUGUUUUAAUACCUAAUUCAGUUUGUUCAUAUGUUUGAGUUAUUAUUUUACUCCAAUCAAUCUGGCCACCAUUUUCCUGCAACCAGAAACAAGAAAACUUUAUUUCUUAAAAUCGAAUUGAUGAAGGAAGACACAAAUUUCAAGGCUUGGCUAGAAAUUGUUAAAAAAUAUAUUGAAUACAAAUAAUUUUAGGGAAUGCUAACUUUAACACAAAUAAUUUUAGGGAAUGCUAACUUUUAACACCCUAAUUCCCACAUUUUAUUUUUAUAAUAAAAAUACAUUUACAAUAAAGAAACACAUAAGGGUGUCACACGUCUUCUAUAAAAAAACUUCAAAAGUACUUCAUUCAAAUUAAAAACAUAACAAUGGAAUAGUUUUCAAAAACUUUAAAGUACAUGUUGCAUCACAAUUUCAACACCAAAACUAAAUUCAAAAGAAUUCUAAAAUAGAGUCUAAAAUGAAAAGAAUCCUCAAUCCCUAGUGUCACUGAUCAGAGCUUUGACUCAAUAAAUACUCCUAAAAGCGAUAAACAAAAAAGAGAAAGCUCCAAUGCCAUCCUCCGAAACUCGGUGCUACUUACUUUUGACCACAUCAAGUAUCUUAUUCUCAAUAAUCAUAUCACAUAAAUACAAAUACAAAGCUACUACCACAUUUAUCACGGUUAAGAAUAUUACUAGUAAUUAACAUAUAAAAAGUACUUUGCUCAAAAAAAAAAACAUAUAAAAAGUACUGAUGUCUUCUUAAUUGGUUUCCACCACAAGAAUCUCACAAUUCAAAACAUGUAAAAAAGAAUAUAAAAAUCGUUUGAUAUAAAAAAAAUAUAAUUCAAAUAAAUCGAUUUUCAGGAACAUAUUUGUUACUAGUCAAAACAACUGGUUUAUAGCAUUCACAAAACAAACUUAAUUAAUUCAAAAUGUAUUGUUUGAUUACAGUGAUCCAAAAUCAAAUUAGCAUGAAUACAUAAGUUUUAUAUUAUUAAUCAUCGAUUUCAUAUAGAUUUCAGGCAAAUAUUUAUUAUCCGAAGGCAAUCACGUCGUGUUUAGUAACAAAAUAAACCUAAUUCAAUUUUGAUAUAGCACCGUAAAAAAUAAUAAUAAUAAUUACAGCAACAUGAAAAGCAUCCUUUUAGCACCGUAACCCUUCGUUACUAGUUUUAAUCUUUUCUGAUAGUUUCUCUCAAAAAAAACGUUAACUUAUUUACCAAUUUAGUCCUUUAUGUUUUGCUCUGUUCCUAAUUUUAGUCCUUUCUAUUCACGUUUUUUUGAGAGAAACUAACAUAAAGGACUAAAACUAGUGACAAAUCAAAACAUAGAGGACCAAAUUGAUACAAAUUAUAGUUAAGGAACCAAAUUGAGACAAUCAAUUAAGUUAAGGACCAGGUGAUUGAAUAAGCCUAAAAUUAAUAAAAUACGACCAAAUCGAAAACGAAAAUAAAGAUAAGGACCAAAUUAAAAGGUUUAAUAAUGAAGGGACCGACGGAUAUAUCAAGCUUAUUAACAAAAGUACAUCUAUUAAGUAAAACUGCCUCAGCUUUUGGAGAAAAGUAAUCAUACUUCAAUAUUAGCAGCAACAAGAGCCUCACCGUCCACUUCUGCUCCAGUAAUUCCAGCAUUAUUUACCUAAACAAAGUGUGUUUCAAAUAUUUGUAGUCAUCAAUCAAUAACCUAUAAUUUUUCAUUUGUAAAAAAUUUCAUGUGACUUGUAUCAAUGAUUUAUGAGACUCAUGGAUAUAGCUCAUCUUAAAUUAUCAACAAAGUCAAUUUUAAUUGAGAAUCUCCAAUUAAUUAGUUCAUUCUUAUAGUCAAACUCAAUUAUGAUCGAGAACCUCCUAACAUAUCAAAAUCAAUUUGAAGUCUUCAUAAUCACUUUUGAUUCUCUCAAAAUUGGAUCUAAACAUGCACUUCACUUUUUAAGUAUAUGUUUGGUUUUGCAUUGACAAAAACUGACUCUAAAUUUGAUUCUAGUUAGAUGUGAGUUGAUUGUAAAAUAAUUUAUGUUUAGAUACAUUAUGAUUAUGUAAAAGUGAGUUAAACAAUAAUUUCAAACCUAAGAUUUAUUGUAGAGUCAAAAGAUGCAAAUUCUAGUUUGAAGUUAAAAUCAAUUCAUAAGACAAUAAAUUAUUUAUACUCGAAUAGAUCCAAACAUGUCAAAAGCAAAGAUAAAUUUGAACUUACCAAGAUAUCUAGUUUUCCAAAUUGAUUCUUGAUAAAAUCUACAAAUGAUCUUAUACUCGCAGCAUCUAUGACAUCAAGUUGAUGAAAAACAACAAGACCAGGCAGAGAAAGAUGUUUCAGCUUCUCAACAGCUUCAAGACCUCUCUUUUCAUCUCUUGCAGUAAGCACCACAGUGAUCCCUUUAGAAGCCAAUUGAUUGCAUACUGCAAAUCCUAUUCCUUUGUUUGCUCCUGUAACAACUGCAUACCUAGAAACAAAAUUAACAAGGUGGUAUUAUGAGUCAUUGUCACUAAGCUUGUGGUUGAUCGUAUAUAUAUGUAAGGUAUAUUGAAGGAAAAAAAGGGUAAGGAAAAUUAGAUUAUACGUUGUUGUUGCCUCUGCCAUUGAUAUGGUAAGAGUGAGGUGCUAGCAAAUAUGAGUUGACCAAAAUGAAGAUUAUAAAUUAAUAUUGGUUUGUGGUACGUUAUGUUUAUAAUUUUGUAUCAAUUCCUUCAAAAAAAUAAAAAAUAAUUUUGUAUCAAUUGUCUUUAAAUAUUGGUUCCAACAACUAUGUUACCGGCCAAAGAAAUAAUUUUUUAUUUAUGAUAAAAAGAGUAAGUGAAUUGAAGCCGGACCUCAAAGUUAAAGAAUGUUUAUAGAGUUACACAUACAAAUCAACUAUCAAAAGAGAUGAGAGUGUUAACUUCUUAUCAACCGAGUCAAAAAUAUUUGACAUAAUUUUCUUUUUUGGUUUUUCGCAAUACAUGAAUUAUAUAAGCAUUGGUAUAUGUGUGCCCAAUGAUGAUGGAGUUUUUGUUCUAUCCAAAACCAUGAAUUUCUCUCUUUGGGUUAUGUUCCUGUUGGAGAAGCUUUAGGUUUGUACAAUGUCGACUUUGUGAUGGAUUUUAAAACAAUCAAUGACGUUGUUCACUUCAAUAGAUCUUAUAUUUUAGAAUUUGGUCAUAUCCUAUCAGGGUUCUAGAGACCCUUUCAUUCACAGUUCGCAAACUCUCGGUUGGAGUUCAACAGGCGAUAAACAAAUGCAGUAGCUCAUGUUUUAGUUGGAGAAGCCGUGUUAUCAACUAGUCUCACUAUUUAUUUUCAUAUCCCGCAUUGUACUACUGAUAUUAUUAUUAAUAAAAUGCUAUAAACAUCUCUUCUUUCAAUAAAAAAAAUAGGGAGUAAAUUUUUUCCCUUGUGGUAAUAUAUUUCAUUUUGCCUUGUUAAAAAAAAAAAAGUAUUUUAGUGCCCUAUUCUCAAAUGUAUGUAUAGGAGAUAUCGCUAGGGAUGGGUAGCGCACUUGGUUAAGUUAAGAUAUUAAAAAGUUAAGAAGCUAAAGGUAUAGGGUUUGAAUCCUAAAAAGGGAGAAAAUACUAACAUAUCAAUUAACAUACUACAAAGACUUGAAUUCGGAUCCCACAAUUGAUGAGAGAAUCUCAUUGAUGAGUAAUAUGUAAGUAACUAACCUCACGGUCCUAAUGAGCCGCUAAAAUACAACUCGCUUAAAAGUUAUGAUUUGACAUGUUUUAAAACUCGAGGAACCAUGUUGAUGGGAACAGAUGAGACUGGAUUUCCAUCGAGUCUGACUCAGCUACUCUUGUGCAAGCUCUAUUGUCUCGGAGCCAUGGUGAUUCGGAUUUCUAUGCUAUUGUUUCUAGUAUUAUUUAUCAGUUAUCUUUACAUUCUAACUUCGAGGUGAAGUUUGUUAGGAGACAAGCGAACAUGGUUGCUCAUACUUUAGCUAGGGCAACCUGUUCUUGGGCUAAUCACCAUAUUUUUUAUUCUUAUCCUACUUGUAUUGAACAUUUGUUGGUUAAUAAUAAUAGUUAACUUUAUUUUGGUAAAAAAAAUAAAAAAUAAACUCGAGGGACCAAAAAUGUGUAUUUUAAAUUGGGAGGACCAACAAUAGUAUAGAUGACAUCUACUAAUAUGGUGUGACACCAGGGGUACAUCUUUAACUAUUUGGUUAGGGUUCAAUUCCUGGUCGAACUUUAUUCUCUUUAGUGAAACACAAGUAGAAAAAAAUCAAUACAAAGUAAUUGUUUUCAGCCCAUAAUUAUCCUGCAUGUAUCUUUCACAAUUUGUUUUUUGACAACAACCAAUCUUUGAUCAAAAUGGUUUCUCUUCAUUUCUAACAAAAAAGUGACCAGAACUACCAUCAGAUAGCAAUGCCAACCUCAGAAUUGAUUCAGCACCUUCAUCAGGUGUUAGAUAACCUGUAUUGUAAAUAAUAUCUGUUUUCACAAAGCCAGGACAAACAACAUUGAUGCAUAUUGAUGGAUACUUUCUAGCCACAACCCUUGUAUAGGCAUUUAGAGCAACUUUUGAGAUAAUGUAAGUAGACAAAUUAUUAUCAGGCCAACCUUUGUUUUCUAGUGACCCCUCUUUAAAAUCCUUUAGAAAUUGAUUCAAAACUUCAUCAAUCUUUUCUUCUGUAAGUUCUUCAACAUCACUCAAUACUUCCUUAGGCCAUCCAUUUGGAAGUUUCUGCAAAUAAAAUUGCAUGAAAAUGAGCAUCAUCUACAAUAGCCUAAUAUAUCAAAAUAAGAGUGAAUUUAUAAAUUGAUUCUCAAAAUUAUUAGAACCGGUCAUAUAUAGUCUCUGAAUUUUACAAAUUGGUCAAAAGGAUCCUUUCGUUGAAUUGGUACUGUUAGAAGUUAUGAUGUAGUCCUUCUUGUCAUGCAUAUAAGCAACUAUUUCUUUUUUAAAUUCAUAAAAUAACUUAUAUAUAUUUAUAUAUGAUAUAUCAAUUAUUUAAUAAAUUUAAAAAAUAAUAAUGACUUAUACAUAUUACCAGAAGGAGUAACAUGUUAUAUUAACGUGUGGCCUUAGUGUGCAGAUGCCACAUAAAUGUCAUGUUACCAAAAACCUUCUAUGGCACAUUAAAUUCAUUAAUAUUAUAUCAUCUCUAGAGCUACCACCUCGGGAGCCACAAAUAAACUUGCAUCUUAUAUUUCAUAUUUUAUUGCCACUUGAGAUCUAUGUAAGAGGCCACAUGUUCAAUUAAGGUAUCACCUCAUAGGCUCAAACAAUAUAUAAAAGUUAGUAGAGGGACAUUUUGACACAUGUGCAGUUCUGUUUCUGAGAUUUUGAUGGUAUGAGGCAAAAGCACAACUUGGACGCUAUGAGCAUUUAUAAAUGCAAAGUCAAUAAUAAUUAUGUACGCAACAAUAUGUUAUAUCAUAUCUUUCUUCAACAAAAAAAAAAAGAUGUGAAGUUUUUCAAUAAUUUUAAUGAAAAACUUAUUUCUACACAUGCAACAAUCAUCGACAUAGAUCCCCGUGAGCUUUGCUUAGUUGGUAGAGAUAUUACAUUUUAUAUGCAGGGGCCGGGGUUUGAACCCCGAACACUCCACUUCUCCACAAUUAAAUAUAGGCACUAGACUAUUUGACAAAAAAAAAAAAUCAUCGACAUAGUUAAGAGAAUUUGAUAAGCAAUUGAAGCAUUUGACAAACUCAUGAAUUUCAAAUGUUGACAUCAACACAUUUAACAAAGAUAUUUGUAAUACUUUUAAUACAUAAAAAAUCAUUUGCGUCAACAUUCGACAAAUACUUAUGAAAAAACGCAGCCUCAUAAUUUGUUUAAGAUUUUUUUUAAUUCAUCAUUUCCAAUGAUUUUAAGGUUCUUGCAGCAAAUAAAAGUUCAACAAUACUUUUAAAUACUUCAAACUGCUCAAAACUAAUUUUCAAUAAAACUAUUGUCAUAUCAACAACCAUAAAAGCAAUGAUUGACUCUAAAUGAUUCCUCGGUGAUUGUAUUUGCUUAUCAUUAUCAUUAUCACCAUAUUGUCUUUUUCUAAAGCUGCAACACUUUGUCGAAAGUGUCGGCUCUACACUCAUAUCAAAUGCAAGGCUUUUGGCUACGAUCAUACUAGGUUUUAUUUCUAUAUUUUUCAAAGUAUAAGAUUAUACCUUACACUUUUUUUUUUUUUUUUUUUAAAUAUUGGGGCCCAUAUUUUAGAAUUAUUUUUUGGGAUAUAGGAUUGUUGUCCUCUUCACCCUGCCUUAGAUAUAGUCCUGCUAAUGUGUUACAUUUCUAGUUUUUAAAAAUGUAUUUGCUAAUUCUUAACGGAAAAGCUUCAUAUUUUAAUUUUCGAUAUAUUGAAUGUAUAAGUUUUUAUAAAAACUUACUAUCUAAAGUUCUUAAGGAGUGCCUUAGAACAGUCAUUGACAUUUCUUUUAAAAGUUAAAUACUAUUUUGACUAUGCUCACAAUUUGAGGAUUAAUUUGCCUAUUUAUUCUCAAAGUUAAACAACAUAUAUACCUCAAAUCAAAUCAAUGAAAUAUUUAACUUAGAAAAUUUUCAUUAGUUUAAGUGUUUCUAAAUAAUCUUCCAAAGCAGUGCCACAUACCUCCAACUUUCCCAUGGAUGCGGAAACAUUGACAACUUUUGGUGAGCUUGAAAGCUGGAGAAAUGGAAUAAGGGCUUCUGUCAAGUCCUUUGCUCCAUAGUAGUUUGUUUUAAUACCUAAUUCAGUUUGUUCAUAGGUUUGAGUUAUUAUUUUACUCCAAUCAAUCUGGCCACCAUUUUCCUGUAACCAGAAACAAGAAAACUUUAUUUCUUAUGAUUGAAUUGUGAAGGAAGACACAAAUUUCAAGGUAUGACUUGAAAUUGUUAAUAAAUUUGACUAAUAUUAACAAUCUGUUUCUUCAUACAAGAGGAAAUAAUUUUCAGUUAAUUUUCAUAUGUUUGGCAUAUAUUGACUACAAGUAAUCAUUCUUUAUAUGCUUAAUUGCAGUUUUGGCCUCCUAAAUAUCACAAUCUUGCGAUUUUUAUCCCUUAUAAAAAAAAUAUCAAAUCAGCCCAUAUAUUUACCCCAUUUUGCACUUUCGGUCCCCCAGACCAAUUUUGACCAAAUCAAUGUAUACGUGACACCCACAUCACUUAAAAUGAGGUGCCACGUGUGACUUUAUAUUUUCUUAGGGGGUCAAAAUCGUAAGAUGGUGAUAUUUAGAGACCAAAACUGUAAUUAAGUCUAAUAAAUAAAAUGAUCUGGGUGCCACGUAAGCAUUGACCUAAUUAAAAUUGGUCUGAGGGGCCUUACUUGGGGUAAACUUAGGAGUUAAUUUGUUAUUAUUUAUUAUAGGAGGACAAAAUCAUAAAACUGUAAUACUUAAGGGUCAAAACUGUAACUAAACUAUCUUUAUAUUAAUUUAACAGUCGCAAUUGGAUCACAAUUCUUGACAUGGCGAGGAAUCACAAUCAAAUGCAAUGCAGUUGAUGCAGCUUCAACCAUGAUUGCAAUGACAUCAAAAGCCAUGAUGCUGCAGUCCAUGGAUCACGAUCACUAACCUUUUUCUAUAACUUUAUAACUACACAAAAUUUCAUAUUCGGAUUGCGACAAAUCAAAUAAAGCUCAUCUCAAAGUAAAACCAUUUUUGCUUGGACUACAAACACAAUCAACCAAAACCUAAAUGAAAUUGUAUUAACAAAAGUUAUAAUAAUAACAAUUUAAAAAAAAAAAAAAAUUAAAUUAGUUCAAUUGGUGGAACAGACACCCAAAUCCAAACCAAUACCACCAAAUCAACCGAAGUUGGUUUUAAUUAUUAUUCUGAAAUUAAUGGACAUGUUAAGUACAUUUAUUAAGUAAAACAGCCUCAGCUUUUGGGGGAAAGUAAUCAUACCACAAUUUUAGCAGCAGCAAGAGCUUCACCGUCUACUUGUGCUCCAGGAAUCCCAGCAUUGUUUACCUAAACAAAGUGUUUCAAAUAUUUGUAGUCAUUCAAGAUGAACUAGAAACUAUCUCGCAUAUAUAAUAAUAACCUAUAAUUUUUCAUUUGUAAAAUAUUUUGUGUGACUGUAUCAAUGAAACUCAUGGAUAUAGCUCAUCUUAAGUGUUCAACAAAGUAAAUAUUUUUCAACCUUAAAAGAAAUUUUUUUUGAAAAAAUGACUUCAAUUUUUCAGAAACAAAGUCAAGUCAAUUCUAAUUGAGAACCUCGAAUUAGUUCAAUCUUAGAGACAAACUCAAUUAUAAUCGAGAACCUCCUAGCAUCAAAAUAAGUUUGAAGUCUUCAGAAUCACUUUUGACUCUCAAAAUUGAAUCUAAACAUGCCCUUCACUUUUUUAGCGUGUGUUUGGUUUUGGGGUGACAAAUAUUGUCUCUAAAUUUGAUUCUAGCUAGAUGUGUCUUGAAUAUAGCGUAAUUUAUGUUUAGAUACAUUAUGUGUAAAGGUGAAUUAAAUAAUAAAUUCAAACCUAAAAUAUAUUGUAGAGUCAAAAGAUGUAGAUUCUAGUUUGAAGUUAAAAUCAAUUCACAGGACAAAAUAAAUUAUAUCUUUUUGAAUAUGUCCAAACAUGUCAAAAUCAAUUCUACACCACAAACUCAAUUUUACCUCUCUAAAAACGGAAUGAAACAUACAAUAAAUUGAAUCACUAUUUUAGAUCAUGUGCAAAUUCAAAAUUCAGAUAUAUUUUGUGUACUUCUCUAGAAACACAUAAGAAACAUGAAAAUGACAAAAGACAAGAUAAAUUUGAACUUUCUUACCAAGAUAUCUAGUUUACCAAAUUGAUUCUUGAUAAAAUCUACAAAUGAUCUUAUACUUGCAUGAUCUAUGACAUCAAGUUGUUGGAAAACAACAAGACCAGGCAAAGAAAGCUGUUUCAAUUUCUCAACAGCUUCAAGACCUCUCUUUUCAUCUCUUGCAGUAAGCACCACAGUGAUCCCUUUAGAAGCCAAUUGAUUGCAUACUGCAAAUCCUAUUCCUUUGUUUGCUCCUGUAACAACUGCAUAUCUAGAAACAAGAUUAACAAGGUUGUAUUAUGUGUCAUUGUCAUGAAGCUUUUGGUUAACUGUGUGUGUCUAUAUAUAUAUAUAUAUAUUGAAGGUGUGUUUAAAAAAAAAAAAAUGUAAGGUAUAUUGAAGAAACAAAAGGGUAAGAAAAAUUAGAUUCUACAUUGUUGUUGCUUCUGCCAUUGAUAUGGUAAGAGUGAGGUGCUAGCAAAUAUGUGUUGACCAAAAUGAAGAUUAUAAAUUAAAAUGGGUUUGUAGUUAUAUGUUUAUAACUUUCUAUUAAUUAUCUUUAAAUAUUAGUUCCAACAACUAUUUUACCAGCCAAAGAAAAUAUUCUUUAUUUUAUGAUAAAAAGAGUAAGUGAAUCCCCGUGAGCUUAGCUCAGUUGGUAGGGAUAUUGCAUAUUAUAUGCAGGAGCUGGGGUUCGAACCCCGGACACUCCACUUCUCCACAAUUAAAUUGUGUGAGCUCUAACCACUAGGCUACUUGACCAAAAAAAAAAAAAAAAGAGUAAGUGAAUUGAAAGCCGGACCUCAAAGUUAAAGAGUCUUUAUAGAGGUACACUUACAAAUCAGCUAUCAUAGAGGUGAGAGAGUUAACUUGUUACCAACUGAGUCAAAAAUAAUCGACAUAAUUUUUCGUUUUUCGUAUAAGCAAUAAAUUUUUGUUUUAAUAAUGUUUUUUUUUUUAUGAAGUUUUGUGGGAAUUACGUUUUAAUAGGAAUCUUUUUAUUGCGCUAGCGCGUGUAGAUUAUCAACGAAAUAUUAUAGAAAUUUUGCGUGUAAAUUGCAAACGAUAUUUUAUAUAACUCUUUUAUAUAAAUUAAAAUGAUAAGUAUAGAUAUUUGUGACUUUCAAAUGUAUCAAACUCAACAAAUCAUAUUUAUCUUUUUCAAUGACAACAAUAAUAUAACAAAUAUAAUAAAAAAUUCUUAUAUUUUUUAAUCACAACAACAAUAUAACAUUAUUAUAGAAAAAUUUAUGUAAGAGUAUAAUUGAAAUAACAAAAAAGUUUGCCCAAAAUCCAGAUUUAGUGUAGUAGUUAUUAUUUAUUUCCUCAAUAAUAAUUUAUAUGAUUUUGGAUUAGUAAUGCCACAUGUAUAAACUGCAACUGUUCAAGCGCAAUAUUGAUGAUUCCUUUUCGCAAUCUAUGAAUUUUAUAAGCAUUGGUAUAUGUGUGUCUGAUGAUGAUGAAGUUUUUCUUCUAGCCAAAACCAUAAAUUUAUCUCCUUGAGUUCUGCUCCAGUUGGCGAAGCUUUAGGUUUGUUUAAUGAUGUAGAAUGAUUAAGUGCAUGAAGAUGGAUAUUGUCAACUUUGUUGUGGAUUCUAAAACAAUCAACGACAUUUUUUACUCCAACAAACCUUAUGUUUCAAAAUUUGGUCAUAUCAUAUCAUGGUGCCAGAGACUUUCACAUUUUUUUUAGAGAGUGAUAAAUUAAUACUUAUGAUUAAUAUAUUUUUAAGUUUAAGAAUAUUAUAACAACAUAUAUUAAAAAAAAAUCAAUACAAAGUAAUUGUUUUCAGCCAAUAAUUAUCUAUCUUUCACAUUGUUUUCUUACAACAAAUAUUAAUCCUUGCUCAAAAUGGUUUCUCCUCAUUUCUAACAAAAAAGUGACCAGAACUACCAUCAGAUAGCAAUGCCAACCUCAGAAUUGAUUCAGCACCUUCAUCAGGUGUUAGAUAACCUGUAUUGUAAUUUAUAUCUGUUUUCACAAAGCCAGGACAAACAGCAUUGAUGCAUAUUGAUGGAUACUUCUUGGCUGCAACUCUUGUAUAGGCACUUAGAGAAGCUUUUGAGAUAAUGUAUGUAGACAUGCUAUUAAUAGGCCAACCUUUAUUUUCUACUAGUGAUCCCUCUUUAAAAUCCUUUAGAAAUUGAUUCAAAACUUCAUCAAUCUUUUCUUCUGUAAGGUUUUCAAUAUCACUCAGUACCUCCUUAGGCCAUCCAUUAGGAAGUUUCUGCAAAUAAAAUUGCAUGAAAAUGAGUAUUAUCCUCCAAUUGCAUAAUAGUUCAAAGUGAAAUAACAUAUAGCACUUUAAAUCCAAUGAAUGAAGCAUUAAUACAUUUUAAGUAGUUUCGAGUUCAAACCCUCGGCUCGGUUAGUGAGCUAAAGGACAACAAAGAAUUUUUAAAAAGGUUGUCGAGAGUUCAAACCCUGAAAAUUUACAUAACCACUAACUUACUAACAUUUGUCUAUAAAAAAAAAAACUAACGAACAAUUUGAUUUAGAUAUUUUCAUUAGAUAAGUUUCUAAAUAAGUUUCCCUAAAAAAAAAUCUAAAUAAGUUACCAAAGAAAGUAGCAGAAGUUAUUAGUAUCAUAUACCUCCAACUUUCCCAUGGAUGAGGAAACAUUGACAACUUUUGGUGAGCUUGAAAGCUGGAGAAGGGGAAUAAGUGCUUCAGUUAAGUCCUUGGCUCCAUAAUAGUUUGUUUUAAUACCUAAUUCAGUUUCUUCAUAUGUUUGAGUUAUUAUUUUACUCCAAUCAAUCUGGCCACCAUUUUCCUACAACCAAAAACAAGAAAACUUUAUUUCUUAAGCAUGACUUGCAAUUGUUAAUAAAUUUAACUAAUGUUAACAAUCUCUAUAUCGAAUGAAGUAAUAACCAAGGUUUUAAGUCGCUUUAACAGUCGCGGUAGGAUCACAAUGGUUGAUGUUGCGGAGAAUCACAAUCAUUUUGAACUUAAUGGAUUAGCAUGUUUAAGUAAAUCUCAUUAAUUUAAGUUAAACUGCCUCGGCUUUCCGGGGAAAGAAAUCAUACCGCAGUAUUAGCAGCAGCCAGAGCCUCACCGUCGACUUGUGCUCCAGGAAUUCCAGCAUUGUUUACCUAAGAAAAGUUUGGAGUUUCAAAUAUUUGUGAUCAUUCAAGAUGAAUUGAAAACUAUUUCACACACAGACAGAACCAUAUAAUAAUAGCUUAUAAUUUUUCAACUGUAAAAUAUUUUAUUUGACAAGGUAUAUCAAUGAAACUCAAUGGAUAUAGCUCAUCUAAAAUUAUCAGUAAAGUAAACAAUUUCAACCUUUAAUGAAAAAAAAAUGCACUCGAAUAUCAACGGUUGAUUCUGUUGUUACUUGUUAUGAUUUGUGUUUGCAAACGUUCACUGAAAAGUGAGUCAAGCUACAAGCCUACAAAUACUAAGUUUUACAUUAAAAUCAAUUUUAAAGACAAAAUUAAUUCUAAUGAUGAACUUCAAACAUACCACCAAAAACAAUUUUAAAAAUCUUUAUAAUCACUUUUGCCUCUCAAAAUUGAAUCCAAACAAGCACUAAAUUAAAUCACUCAUAUUAGAUCAACCAAAUCCAAAAUUCAGAUAUACUCUCUAUCUACUUAUACAAACUUUGAUAUAAAUUUGAAUUCUCUUACCAAAAGAUCUAGAUUACCAAAUUGAUUCUUGAUAAAAUCUACAAAUGAUCUUAUACUUGCAUGAUCUAUGACAUCAAGUUGAUGAAAAACAACAAGACCAGGCAAAGAAAGCUGUUUCAAUUUCUCAACAGCUUCAAGACCUCUCUUUUCAUCUCUUGCAGUAAGCACCACAGUGAUCCCUUUAGAAGCCAAUUGCUUGCAUACUGCAAAUCCUAUUCCUUUGUUUGCUCCUGUAACAACUGCAUAUCUAGAAACAAGAUUAUUAUGAGUUAUUAUGAUUAAGCUUAUGUUAAUUUAAUGGCAUAUAUAUGUAGGGUAUUUUGAAGAAUAAAAGGAUUUACCUUUUUGUUGCUUCUGCCAUUGAUAUGAAUAAAGAAAAGUGCUAGCAAGUAUGAGUGGACUAAAAUAAAAUAAAAAUGGGGUUGUGGUUGUGUUUAUAUAUAAUAAUAACUUUAUACUAUCAAGAGUUUCAAGUAAAAGUUGAUACUUGAUAGUAGAGUAGUGAUAUUUGAAAAACCAUUUCAUACAAUUUUUGGUAACAACUUCCUUUUUCUCUCUUUUGAUUGGUUAAAAAUAAUGGAGAGAGAAAAAGGAAGAGAGAGAAUAAGAGGAUAAUGUGAGUAUGAGAGAGAAAGUUGUCAAAAAGUUGUCACAAAGUGGACGUACAUAUAUCAUUUCUCUUGAUAGUAAAUGCAAUGUCAAAGUUAAUGUUCUAAUCAUUGUUGUCAAAAUUCUGACUUAAAUCCUAAAAUUCAGGAUUUUGCAACUUUCUUCACUUUCAACGACUCAAAUCUAUAGUAGAAUCCUAAAAUAGGAAAAAUUCAUCGAUUUUGAUUGCGAUUUUACGAUUUCUUAUAAACUAAGUAAUUUAUGACUAUAUACCAUUUAUAACAUAUAUUUAGUAUUAUUAUUUUUUGGUAAAAUCCAUCGAUUUUGAAUGCGAUUUUACAAUUUUCUAUAUCGAUUCUAUAAAAGUUCUUAGGUAAAAUCCUUCGAUUUUGAUUGCGAUUUUACGAGUUCCGAUUUUACUAUUCCCUUUUGACCUGAAGUAAAAUCCCGAUUUUGACAACCUUGGUUCCAAUAAUGUUUCUUUUUGUUUUCAACUUAUCAUGAACAUCAAUUGUUGUUGGACCACUCUUUGGUUGAAACAAAAACAAGUUGUCACAUUUUAUAAGUUUCUCUCCAUUGUUUUUUUAGAGGAAAAAAUUCAUCGAUCUCAUUGCAUUAGAUAAAGUGUCAAUACAAAGCGGUACUUCAAUAAACAAUUGAGAGCUAGUUUUAAUGGUAAUGUAUGUGCUUAUUCAGCGAUCCCAUUUGCUUGUCCUUUAAUAAAGUCAACCUUAGUUAGAGUCGUUAAAAGAUGUGAUGAACAACCGUCUACAGUGAUGAAUGAUGUUGUCAAACUCAUUGUUAUUACUGUUAUUAACAUUAAAUACAUCGACAACAAUCUUUGAAUCAAGAGAAAAAUUCGUGUUAACAAAACCAAAAUCAGUCACCCAUUACAAGCUUGACAAAGUCCUGACGCUUCAUCGACAUCCACUGAACACAAUGGGGAGAAUCAGGGGGUUUUUGCUAGCACAAACACAAAGCACUUUUCGGCAUCGCGAAUACACAUACUACUUAUUAUUGAUAGAAGAGAAUGAUGCAUCAACGUUACAUUUAAAUCUAUCAGAUGCACAUUGUUGUCAUCGUGCACAAUGUAUAUUGCUCAACCCUAGUAUAUUCGUAGUAGUUGUUGUUCUGAACAAUUCUUGUGCAAGUUUCUAGUGUUCUAACAUAUGCAAAACAUGUUUGAAUACUUGGUGGUCGUUUCGUCUACUUUUUUCCUUAAUUUCACAUUCCGACUAGGCAUGGCAACAAAAUCCAUGUCCACGGAUACCCGCCCAAACCAACCCCGUUUUGACUGGGUUUGAGGGGAUAUAGUUACCCACCCCGAAUCCAUACCCAAACCCUACCCAAAUAUAAGAAAAUUACCUUUUUACCCCUUUAUUACCCCUCUUAUAUAAAUAGAAACUCAAACCCUAAAAACCAUUUCACCACAUGUGUCUGUCAGACGAUGGCACUCACUCGAGUUAUCCCUCUUCUUCUUGGACAUCUCACACCAUUAUCACCAUCAUCUUCUGGUGUUUUUCUUAAUGAUUUAUGCUUAAUUUUUUUUGGAUUUUAUUUUAUUUUUUGUUAUGUUCGAUUCGGUUUGUUAUGUUCCGUUUGUUAUCUCUCUCUGUUUGUUUGUUUAUUAUUUUAUUUUUUGUUAUGUUCGAUUCGGUUUGUUAUGUUCCGUUUGUUAUCUCUCUCUGUUUGUUUGUUUAUUAUUUUAUUUUUUGUUAUGUUCGAUUCGGUUUGUUAUGUUCCGUUUGUUAUCUCUCUCUGUUUGUUUGUUUAUUAUUUUAUUUUUUGUUAUGUUCGAUUCGGUUUGUUAUGUUCCGUUUGUUAUCUCUCUCUGUUUGUUUGUUUAUUAUUUUAUUUUUUGUUAUGUUCGAUUCGGUUUGUUAUGUUCCGUUUGUUAUCUCUCUCUGUUUGUUUGUUUAUUAUUUUAUUUUUUGUUAUGUUCGAUUCGGUUUGUUAUGUUCCGUUUGUUAUCUCUCUCUGUUUGUUUGUUUAUUAUUUUAUUUUUUGUUAUGUUCGAUUCGGUUUGUUAUGUUCCGUUUGUUAUCUCUCUCUGUUUGUUUGUUUAUUAUUUUAUUUUUUGUUAUGUUCGAUUCGGUUUGUUAUGUUCCGUUUGUUAUCUCUCUCUGUUUGUUUGUUUAUUAUUUUAUUUUUUGUUAUGUUCGAUUCGGUUUGUUAUGUUCCGUUUGUUAUCUCUCUCUGUUUGUUUGUUUAUUAUUUUAUUUUUUGUUAUGUUCGAUUCGGUUUGUUAUGUUCCGUUUGUUAUCUCUCUCUGUUUGUUUGUUUAUUAUUUUAUUUUUUGUUAUGUUCGAUUCGGUUUGUUAUGUUCCGUUUGUUAUCUCUCUCUGUUUGUUUGUUUAUUAUUUUAUUUUUUGUUAUGUUCGAUUCGGUUUGUUAUGUUCCGUUUGUUAUCUCUCUCUGUUUGUUUGUUUAUUAUUUUAUUUUUUGUUAUGUUCGAUUCGGUUUGUUAUGUUCCGUUUGUUAUCUCUCUCUGUUUGUUUGUUUAUUAUUUUAUUUUUUGUUAUGUUCGAUUCGGUUUGUUAUGUUCCGUUUGUUAUCUCUCUCUGUUUGUUUGUUUAUUAUUUUAUUUUUUGUUAUGUUCGAUUCGGUUUGUUAUGUUCCGUUUGUUAUCUCUCUCUGUUUGUUUGUUUAUUAUUUUAUUUUUUGUUAUGUUCGAUUCGGUUUGUUAUGUUCCGUUUGUUAUCUCUCUCUGUUUGUUUGUUUAUUAUUUUAUUUUUUGUUAUGUUCGAUUCGGUUUGUUAUGUUCCGUUUGUUAUCUCUCUCUGUUUGUUUGUUUAUUAUUUUAUUUUUUGUUAUGUUCGAUUCGGUUUGUUAUGUUCCGUUUGUUAUCUCUCUCUGUUUGUUUGUUUAUUAUUUUAUUUUUUGUUAUGUUCGAUUCGGUUUGUUAUGUUCCGUUUGUUAUCUCUCUCUGUUUGUUUGUUUAUUAUUUUAUUUUUUGUUAUGUUCGAUUCGGUUUGUUAUGUUCCGUUUGUUAUCUCUCUCUGUUUGUUUGUUUAUUAUUUUAUUUUUUGUUAUGUUCGAUUCGGUUUGUUAUGUUCCGUUUGUUAUCUCUCUCUGUUUGUUUGUUUAUUAUUUUAUUUUUUGUUAUGUUCGAUUCGGUUUGUUAUGUUCCGUUUGUUAUCUCUCUCUGUUUGUUUGUUUAUUAUUUUAUUUUUUGUUAUGUUCGAUUCGGUUUGUUAUGUUCCGUUUGUUAUCUCUCUCUGUUUGUUUGUUUAUUAUUUUAUUUUUUGUUAUGUUCGAUUCGGUUUGUUAUGUUCCGUUUGUUAUCUCUCUCUGUUUGUUUGUUUAUUAUUUUAUUUUUUGUUAUGUUCGAUUCGGUUUGUUAUGUUCCGUUUGUUAUCUCUCUCUGUUUGUUUGUUUAUUAUUUUAUUUUUUGUUAUGUUCGAUUCGGUUUGUUAUGUUCCGUUUGUUAUCUCUCUCUGUUUGUUUGUUUAUUAUUUUAUUUUUUGUUAUGUUCGAUUCGGUUUGUUAUGUUCCGUUUGUUAUCUCUCUCUGUUUGUUUGUUUAUUAUUUUAUUUUUUGUUAUGUUCGAUUCGGUUUGUUAUGUUCCGUUUGUUAUCUCUCUCUGUUUGUUUGUUUAUUAUUUUAUUUUUUGUUAUGUUCGAUUCGGUUUGUUAUGUUCCGUUUGUUAUCUCUCUCUGUUUGUUUGUUUAUUAUUUUAUUUUUUGUUAUGUUCGAUUCGGUUUGUUAUGUUCCGUUUGUUAUCUCUCUCUGUUUGUUUGUUUAUUAUUUUAUUUUUUGUUAUGUUCGAUUCGGUUUGUUAUGUUCCGUUUGUUAUCUCUCUCUGUUUGUUUGUUUAUUAUUUUAUUUUUUGUUAUGUUCGAUUCGGUUUGUUAUGUUCCGUUUGUUAUCUCUCUCUGUUUGUUUGUUUAUUAUUUUAUUUUUUGUUAUGUUCGAUUCGGUUUGUUAUGUUCCGUUUGUUAUCUCUCUCUGUUUGUUUGUUUAUUAUUUUAUUUUUUGUUAUGUUCGAUUCGGUUUGUUAUGUUCCGUUUGUUAUCUCUCUCUGUUUGUUUGUUUAUUAUUUUAUUUUUUGUUAUGUUCGAUUCGGUUUGUUAUGUUCCGUUUGUUAUCUCUCUCUGUUUGUUUGUUUAUUAUUUUAUUUUUUGUUAUGUUCGAUUCGGUUUGUUAUGUUCCGUUUGUUAUCUCUCUCUGUUUGUUUGUUUAUUAUUUUAUUUUUUGUUAUGUUCGAUUCGGUUUGUUAUGUUCCGUUUGUUAUCUCUCUCUGUUUGUUUGUUUAUUAUUUUAUUUUUUGUUAUGUUCGAUUCGGUUUGUUAUGUUCCGUUUGUUAUCUCUCUCUGUUUGUUUGUUUAUUAUUUUAUUUUUUGUUAUGUUCGAUUCGGUUUGUUAUGUUCCGUUUGUUAUCUCUCUCUGUUUGUUUGUUUAUUAUUUUAUUUUUUGUUAUGUUCGAUUCGGUUUGUUAUGUUCCGUUUGUUAUCUCUCUCUGUUUGUUUGUUUAUUAUUUUAUUUUUUGUUAUGUUCGAUUCGGUUUGUUAUGUUCCGUUUGUUAUCUCUCUCUGUUUGUUUGUUUAUUAUUUUAUUUUUUGUUAUGUUCGAUUCGGUUUGUUAUGUUCCGUUUGUUAUCUCUCUCUGUUUGUUUGUUUAUUAUUUUAUUUUUUGUUAUGUUCGAUUCGGUUUGUUAUGUUCCGUUUGUUAUCUCUCUCUGUUUGUUUGUUUAUUAUUUUAUUUUUUGUUAUGUUCGAUUCGGUUUGUUAUGUUCCGUUUGUUAUCUCUCUCUGUUUGUUUGUUUAUUAUUUUAUUUUUUGUUAUGUUCGAUUCGGUUUGUUAUGUUCCGUUUGUUAUCUCUCUCUGUUUGUUUGUUUAUUAUUUUAUUUUUUGUUAUGUUCGAUUCGGUUUGUUAUGUUCCGUUUGUUAUCUCUCUCUGUUUGUUUGUUUAUUAUUUUAUUUUUUGUUAUGUUCGAUUCGGUUUGUUAUGUUCCGUUUGUUAUCUCUCUCUGUUUGUUUGUUUAUUAUUUUAUUUUUUGUUAUGUUCGAUUCGGUUUGUUAUGUUCCGUUUGUUAUCUCUCUCUGUUUGUUUGUUUAUUAUUUUAUUUUUUGUUAUGUUCGAUUCGGUUUGUUAUGUUCCGUUUGUUAUCUCUCUCUGUUUGUUUGUUUAUUAUUUUAUUUUUUGUUAUGUUCGAUUCGGUUUGUUAUGUUCCGUUUGUUAUCUCUCUCUGUUUGUUUGUUUAUUAUUUUAUUUUUUGUUAUGUUCGAUUCGGUUUGUUAUGUUCCGUUUGUUAUCUCUCUCUGUUUGUUUGUUUAUUAUUUUAUUUUUUGUUAUGUUCGAUUCGGUUUGUUAUGUUCCGUUUGUUAUCUCUCUCUGUUUGUUUGUUUAUUAUUUUAUUUUUUGUUAUGUUCGAUUCGGUUUGUUAUGUUCCGUUUGUUAUCUCUCUCUGUUUGUUUGUUUAUUAUUUUAUUUUUUGUUAUGUUCGAUUCGGUUUGUUAUGUUCCGUUUGUUAUCUCUCUCUGUUUGUUUGUUUAUUAUUUUAUUUUUUGUUAUGUUCGAUUCGGUUUGUUAUGUUCCGUUUGUUAUCUCUCUCUGUUUGUUUGUUUAUUAUUUUAUUUUUUGUUAUGUUCGAUUCGGUUUGUUAUGUUCCGUUUGUUAUCUCUCUCUGUUUGUUUGUUUAUUAUUUUAUUUUUUGUUAUGUUCGAUUCGGUUUGUUAUGUUCCGUUUGUUAUCUCUCUCUGUUUGUUUGUUUAUUAUUUUAUUUUUUGUUAUGUUCGAUUCGGUUUGUUAUGUUCCGUUUGUUAUCUCUCUCUGUUUGUUUGUUUAUUAUUUUAUUUUUUGUUAUGUUCGAUUCGGUUUGUUAUGUUCCGUUUGUUAUCUCUCUCUGUUUGUUUGUUUAUUAUUUUAUUUUUUGUUAUGUUCGAUUCGGUUUGUUAUGUUCCGUUUGUUAUCUCUCUCUGUUUGUUUGUUUAUUAUUUUAUUUUUUGUUAUGUUCGAUUCGGUUUGUUAUGUUCCGUUUGUUAUCUCUCUCUGUUUGUUUGUUUAUUAUUUUAUUUUUUGUUAUGUUCGAUUCGGUUUGUUAUGUUCCGUUUGUUAUCUCUCUCUGUUUGUUUGUUUAUUAUUUUAUUUUUUGUUAUGUUCGAUUCGGUUUGUUAUGUUCCGUUUGUUAUCUCUCUCUGUUUGUUUGUUUAUUAUUUUAUUUUUUGUUAUGUUCGAUUCGGUUUGUUAUGUUCCGUUUGUUAUCUCUCUCUGUUUGUUUGUUUAUUAUUUUAUUUUUUGUUAUGUUCGAUUCGGUUUGUUAUGUUCCGUUUGUUAUCUCUCUCUGUUUGUUUGUUUAUUAUUUUAUUUUUUGUUAUGUUCGAUUCGGUUUGUUAUGUUCCGUUUGUUAUCUCUCUCUGUUUGUUUGUUUAUUAUUUUAUUUUUUGUUAUGUUCGAUUCGGUUUGUUAUGUUCCGUUUGUUAUCUCUCUCUGUUUGUUUGUUUAUUAUUUUAUUUUUUGUUAUGUUCGAUUCGGUUUGUUAUGUUCCGUUUGUUAUCUCUCUCUGUUUGUUUGUUUAUUAUUUUAUUUUUUGUUAUGUUCGAUUCGGUUUGUUAUGUUCCGUUUGUUAUCUCUCUCUGUUUGUUUGUUUAUUAUUUUAUUUUUUGUUAUGUUCGAUUCGGUUUGUUAUGUUCCGUUUGUUAUCUCUCUCUGUUUGUUUGUUUAUUAUUUUAUUUUUUGUUAUGUUCGAUUCGGUUUGUUAUGUUCCGUUUGUUAUCUCUCUCUGUUUGUUUGUUUAUUAUUUUAUUUUUUGUUAUGUUCGAUUCGGUUUGUUAUGUUCCGUUUGUUAUCUCUCUCUGUUUGUUUGUUUAUUAUUUUAUUUUUUGUUAUGUUCGAUUCGGUUUGUUAUGUUCCGUUUGUUAUCUCUCUCUGUUUGUUUGUUUAUUAUUUUAUUUUUUGUUAUGUUCGAUUCGGUUUGUUAUGUUCCGUUUGUUAUCUCUCUCUGUUUGUUUGUUUAUUAUUUUAUUUUUUGUUAUGUUCGAUUCGGUUUGUUAUGUUCCGUUUGUUAUCUCUCUCUGUUUGUUUGUUUAUUAUUUUAUUUUUUGUUAUGUUCGAUUCGGUUUGUUAUGUUCCGUUUGUUAUCUCUCUCUGUUUGUUUGUUUAUUAUUUUAUUUUUUGUUAUGUUCGAUUCGGUUUGUUAUGUUCCGUUUGUUAUCUCUCUCUGUUUGUUUGUUUAUUAUUUUAUUUUUUGUUAUGUUCGAUUCGGUUUGUUAUGUUCCGUUUGUUAUCUCUCUCUGUUUGUUUGUUUAUUAUUUUAUUUUUUGUUAUGUUCGAUUCGGUUUGUUAUGUUCCGUUUGUUAUCUCUCUCUGUUUGUUUGUUUAUUAUUUUAUUUUUUGUUAUGUUCGAUUCGGUUUGUUAUGUUCCGUUUGUUAUCUCUCUCUGUUUGUUUGUUUAUUAUUUUAUUUUUUGUUAUGUUCGAUUCGGUUUGUUAUGUUCCGUUUGUUAUCUCUCUCUGUUUGUUUGUUUAUUAUUUUAUUUUUUGUUAUGUUCGAUUCGGUUUGUUAUGUUCCGUUUGUUAUCUCUCUCUGUUUGUUUGUUUAUUAUUUUAUUUUUUGUUAUGUUCGAUUCGGUUUGUUAUGUUCCGUUUGUUAUCUCUCUCUGUUUGUUUGUUUAUUAUUUUAUUUUUUGUUAUGUUCGAUUCGGUUUGUUAUGUUCCGUUUGUUAUCUCUCUCUGUUUGUUUGUUUAUUAUUUUAUUUUUUGUUAUGUUCGAUUCGGUUUGUUAUGUUCCGUUUGUUAUCUCUCUCUGUUUGUUUGUUUAUUAUUUUAUUUUUUGUUAUGUUCGAUUCGGUUUGUUAUGUUCCGUUUGUUAUCUCUCUCUGUUUGUUUGUUUAUUAUUUUAUUUUUUGUUAUGUUCGAUUCGGUUUGUUAUGUUCCGUUUGUUAUCUCUCUCUGUUUGUUUGUUUAUUAUUUUAUUUUUUGUUAUGUUCGAUUCGGUUUGUUAUGUUCCGUUUGUUAUCUCUCUCUGUUUGUUUGUUUAUUAUUUUAUUUUUUGUUAUGUUCGAUUCGGUUUGUUAUGUUCCGUUUGUUAUCUCUCUCUGUUUGUUUGUUUAUUAUUUUAUUUUUUGUUAUGUUCGAUUCGGUUUGUUAUGUUCCGUUUGUUAUCUCUCUCUGUUUGUUUGUUUAUUAUUUUAUUUUUUGUUAUGUUCGAUUCGGUUUGUUAUGUUCCGUUUGUUAUCUCUCUCUGUUUGUUUGUUUAUUAUUUUAUUUUUUGUUAUGUUCGAUUCGGUUUGUUAUGUUCCGUUUGUUAUCUCUCUCUGUUUGUUUGUUUAUUAUUUUAUUUUUUGUUAUGUUCGAUUCGGUUUGUUAUGUUCCGUUUGUUAUCUCUCUCUGUUUGUUUGUUUAUUAUUUUAUUUUUUGUUAUGUUCGAUUCGGUUUGUUAUGUUCCGUUUGUUAUCUCUCUCUGUUUGUUUGUUUAUUAUUUUAUUUUUUGUUAUGUUCGAUUCGGUUUGUUAUGUUCCGUUUGUUAUCUCUCUCUGUUUGUUUGUUUAUUAUUUUAUUUUUUGUUAUGUUCGAUUCGGUUUGUUAUGUUCCGUUUGUUAUCUCUCUCUGUUUGUUUGUUUAUUAUUUUAUUUUUUGUUAUGUUCGAUUCGGUUUGUUAUGUUCCGUUUGUUAUCUCUCUCUGUUUGUUUGUUUAUUAUUUUAUUUUUUGUUAUGUUCGAUUCGGUUUGUUAUGUUCCGUUUGUUAUCUCUCUCUGUUUGUUUGUUUAUUAUUUUAUUUUUUGUUAUGUUCGAUUCGGUUUGUUAUGUUCCGUUUGUUAUCUCUCUCUGUUUGUUUGUUUAUUAUUUUAUUUUUUGUUAUGUUCGAUUCGGUUUGUUAUGUUCCGUUUGUUAUCUCUCUCUGUUUGUUUGUUUAUUAUUUUAUUUUUUGUUAUGUUCGAUUCGGUUUGUUAUGUUCCGUUUGUUAUCUCUCUCUGUUUGUUUGUUUAUUAUUUUAUUUUUUGUUAUGUUCGAUUCGGUUUGUUAUGUUCCGUUUGUUAUCUCUCUCUGUUUGUUUGUUUAUUAUUUUAUUUUUUGUUAUGUUCGAUUCGGUUUGUUAUGUUCCGUUUGUUAUCUCUCUCUGUUUGUUUGUUUAUUAUUUUAUUUUUUGUUAUGUUCGAUUCGGUUUGUUAUGUUCCGUUUGUUAUCUCUCUCUGUUUGUUUGUUUAUUAUUUUAUUUUUUGUUAUGUUCGAUUCGGUUUGUUAUGUUCCGUUUGUUAUCUCUCUCUGUUUGUUUGUUUAUUAUUUUAUUUUUUGUUAUGUUCGAUUCGGUUUGUUAUGUUCCGUUUGUUAUCUCUCUCUGUUUGUUUGUUUAUUAUUUUAUUUUUUGUUAUGUUCGAUUCGGUUUGUUAUGUUCCGUUUGUUAUCUCUCUCUGUUUGUUUGUUUAUUAUUUUAUUUUUUGUUAUGUUCGAUUCGGUUUGUUAUGUUCCGUUUGUUAUCUCUCUCUGUUUGUUUGUUUAUUAUUUUAUUUUUUGUUAUGUUCGAUUCGGUUUGUUAUGUUCCGUUUGUUAUCUCUCUCUGUUUGUUUGUUUAUUAUUUUAUUUUUUGUUAUGUUCGAUUCGGUUUGUUAUGUUCCGUUUGUUAUCUCUCUCUGUUUGUUUGUUUAUUAUUUUAUUUUUUGUUAUGUUCGAUUCGGUUUGUUAUGUUCCGUUUGUUAUCUCUCUCUGUUUGUUUGUUUAUUAUUUUAUUUUUUGUUAUGUUCGAUUCGGUUUGUUAUGUUCCGUUUGUUAUCUCUCUCUGUUUGUUUGUUUAUUAUUUUAUUUUUUGUUAUGUUCGAUUCGGUUUGUUAUGUUCCGUUUGUUAUCUCUCUCUGUUUGUUUGUUUAUUAUUUUAUUUUUUGUUAUGUUCGAUUCGGUUUGUUAUGUUCCGUUUGUUAUCUCUCUCUGUUUGUUUGUUUAUUAUUUUAUUUUUUGUUAUGUUCGAUUCGGUUUGUUAUGUUCCGUUUGUUAUCUCUCUCUGUUUGUUUGUUUAUUAUUUUAUUUUUUGUUAUGUUCGAUUCGGUUUGUUAUGUUCCGUUUGUUAUCUCUCUCUGUUUGUUUGUUUAUUAUUUUAUUUUUUGUUAUGUUCGAUUCGGUUUGUUAUGUUCCGUUUGUUAUCUCUCUCUGUUUGUUUGUUUAUUAUUUUAUUUUUUGUUAUGUUCGAUUCGGUUUGUUAUGUUCCGUUUGUUAUCUCUCUCUGUUUGUUUGUUUAUUAUUUUAUUUUUUGUUAUGUUCGAUUCGGUUUGUUAUGUUCCGUUUGUUAUCUCUCUCUGUUUGUUUGUUUAUUAUUUUAUUUUUUGUUAUGUUCGAUUCGGUUUGUUAUGUUCCGUUUGUUAUCUCUCUCUGUUUGUUUGUUUAUUAUUUUAUUUUUUGUUAUGUUCGAUUCGGUUUGUUAUGUUCCGUUUGUUAUCUCUCUCUGUUUGUUUGUUUAUUAUUUUAUUUUUUGUUAUGUUCGAUUCGGUUUGUUAUGUUCCGUUUGUUAUCUCUCUCUGUUUGUUUGUUUAUUAUUUUAUUUUUUGUUAUGUUCGAUUCGGUUUGUUAUGUUCCGUUUGUUAUCUCUCUCUGUUUGUUUGUUUAUUAUUUUAUUUUUUGUUAUGUUCGAUUCGGUUUGUUAUGUUCCGUUUGUUAUCUCUCUCUGUUUGUUUGUUUAUUAUUUUAUUUUUUGUUAUGUUCGAUUCGGUUUGUUAUGUUCCGUUUGUUAUCUCUCUCUGUUUGUUUGUUUAUUAUUUUAUUUUUUGUUAUGUUCGAUUCUGUUUGCGAAGACUAUCAAUAUUUUUGUUAAUUUUAAAGUUUGGUGGAAUCAAUGGAAUGAGAUUUGUAACACGUACAAACACACGAACAACAACACAAUUGUAUUAGUGUUUAUUGGUUAAUACGACUUUUUGUGACUAAUGUUAUGUGAUGGAAAUACCGGUGCAGAAGAGAUUUAUUUAAACAGUGCUGCUAUAUAUAAGAAAAAAUCAUCUAUCAAAAAAUAAAUAAAUAAAUAAAUAAAUAAAUAUAUAUAUAUAUAUAUAUAUAUAUAUAUNUUGCAUACUGCAAAUCCUAUUCCUUUGUUUGCUCCUGUAACAACUGCAUAUCUAGAAACAAGAUUAACAAGGUUGUAUUAUGUGUCAUUGUCAUGAAGCUUUUGGUUAACUGUGUGUGUCUAUAUAUAUAUAUAUAUAUUGAAGGUGUGUUUAAAAAAAAAAAAAUGUAAGGUAUAUUGAAGAAACAAAAGGGUAAGAAAAAUUAGAUUCUACAUUGUUGUUGCUUCUGCCAUUGAUAUGGUAAGAGUGAGGUGCUAGCAAAUAUGUGUUGACCAAAAUGAAGAUUAUAAAUUAAAAUGGGUUUGUAGUUAUAUGUUUAUAACUUUCUAUUAAUUAUCUUUAAAUAUUAGUUCCAACAACUAUUUUACCAGCCAAAGAAAAUAUUCUUUAUUUUAUGAUAAAAAGAGUAAGUGAAUCCCCGUGAGCUUAGCUCAGUUGGUAGGGAUAUUGCAUAUUAUAUGCAGGAGCUGGGGUUCGAACCCCGGACACUCCACUUCUCCACAAUUAAAUUGUGUGAGCUCUAACCACUAGGCUACUUGACCAAAAAAAAAAAAAAAAGAGUAAGUGAAUUGAAAGCCGGACCUCAAAGUUAAAGAGUCUUUAUAGAGGUACACUUACAAAUCAGCUAUCAUAGAGGUGAGAGAGUUAACUUGUUACCAACUGAGUCAAAAAUAAUCGACAUAAUUUUUCGUUUUUCGUAUAAGCAAUAAAUUUUUGUUUUAAUAAUGUUUUUUUUUUUAUGAAGUUUUGUGGGAAUUACGUUUUAAUAGGAAUCUUUUUAUUGCGCUAGCGCGUGUAGAUUAUCAACGAAAUAUUAUAGAAAUUUUGCGUGUAAAUUGCAAACGAUAUUUUAUAUAACUCUUUUAUAUAAAUUAAAAUGAUAAGUAUAGAUAUUUGUGACUUUCAAAUGUAUCAAACUCAACAAAUCAUAUUUAUCUUUUUCAAUGACAACAAUAAUAUAACAAAUAUAAUAAAAAAUUCUUAUAUUUUUUAAUCACAACAACAAUAUAACAUUAUUAUAGAAAAAUUUAUGUAAGAGUAUAAUUGAAAUAACAAAAAAGUUUGCCCAAAAUCCAGAUUUAGUGUAGUAGUUAUUAUUUAUUUCCUCAAUAAUAAUUUAUAUGAUUUUGGAUUAGUAAUGCCACAUGUAUAAACUGCAACUGUUCAAGCGCAAUAUUGAUGAUUCCUUUUCGCAAUCUAUGAAUUUUAUAAGCAUUGGUAUAUGUGUGUCUGAUGAUGAUGAAGUUUUUCUUCUAGCCAAAACCAUAAAUUUAUCUCCUUGAGUUCUGCUCCAGUUGGCGAAGCUUUAGGUUUGUUUAAUGAUGUAGAAUGAUUAAGUGCAUGAAGAUGGAUAUUGUCAACUUUGUUGUGGAUUCUAAAACAAUCAACGACAUUUUUUACUCCAACAAACCUUAUGUUUCAAAAUUUGGUCAUAUCAUAUCAUGGUGCCAGAGACUUUCACAUUUUUUUUAGAGAGUGAUAAAUUAAUACUUAUGAUUAAUAUAUUUUUAAGUUUAAGAAUAUUAUAACAACAUAUAUUAAAAAAAAAUCAAUACAAAGUAAUUGUUUUCAGCCAAUAAUUAUCUAUCUUUCACAUUGUUUUCUUACAACAAAUAUUAAUCCUUGCUCAAAAUGGUUUCUCCUCAUUUCUAACAAAAAAGUGACCAGAACUACCAUCAGAUAGCAAUGCCAACCUCAGAAUUGAUUCAGCACCUUCAUCAGGUGUUAGAUAACCUGUAUUGUAAUUUAUAUCUGUUUUCACAAAGCCAGGACAAACAGCAUUGAUGCAUAUUGAUGGAUACUUCUUGGCUGCAACUCUUGUAUAGGCACUUAGAGAAGCUUUUGAGAUAAUGUAUGUAGACAUGCUAUUAAUAGGCCAACCUUUAUUUUCUACUAGUGAUCCCUCUUUAAAAUCCUUUAGAAAUUGAUUCAAAACUUCAUCAAUCUUUUCUUCUGUAAGGUUUUCAAUAUCACUCAGUACCUCCUUAGGCCAUCCAUUAGGAAGUUUCUGCAAAUAAAAUUGCAUGAAAAUGAGUAUUAUCCUCCAAUUGCAUAAUAGUUCAAAGUGAAAUAACAUAUAGCACUUUAAAUCCAAUGAAUGAAGCAUUAAUACAUUUUAAGUAGUUUCGAGUUCAAACCCUCGGCUCGGUUAGUGAGCUAAAGGACAACAAAGAAUUUUUAAAAAGGUUGUCGAGAGUUCAAACCCUGAAAAUUUACAUAACCACUAACUUACUAACAUUUGUCUAUAAAAAAAAAAACUAACGAACAAUUUGAUUUAGAUAUUUUCAUUAGAUAAGUUUCUAAAUAAGUUUCCCUAAAAAAAAAUCUAAAUAAGUUACCAAAGAAAGUAGCAGAAGUUAUUAGUAUCAUAUACCUCCAACUUUCCCAUGGAUGAGGAAACAUUGACAACUUUUGGUGAGCUUGAAAGCUGGAGAAGGGGAAUAAGUGCUUCAGUUAAGUCCUUGGCUCCAUAAUAGUUUGUUUUAAUACCUAAUUCAGUUUCUUCAUAUGUUUGAGUUAUUAUUUUACUCCAAUCAAUCUGGCCACCAUUUUCCUACAACCAAAAACAAGAAAACUUUAUUUCUUAAGCAUGACUUGCAAUUGUUAAUAAAUUUAACUAAUGUUAACAAUCUCUAUAUCGAAUGAAGUAAUAACCAAGGUUUUAAGUCGCUUUAACAGUCGCGGUAGGAUCACAAUGGUUGAUGUUGCGGAGAAUCACAAUCAUUUUGAACUUAAUGGAUUAGCAUGUUUAAGUAAAUCUCAUUAAUUUAAGUUAAACUGCCUCGGCUUUCCGGGGAAAGAAAUCAUACCGCAGUAUUAGCAGCAGCCAGAGCCUCACCGUCGACUUGUGCUCCAGGAAUUCCAGCAUUGUUUACCUAAGAAAAGUUUGGAGUUUCAAAUAUUUGUGAUCAUUCAAGAUGAAUUGAAAACUAUUUCACACACAGACAGAACCAUAUAAUAAUAGCUUAUAAUUUUUCAACUGUAAAAUAUUUUAUUUGACAAGGUAUAUCAAUGAAACUCAAUGGAUAUAGCUCAUCUAAAAUUAUCAGUAAAGUAAACAAUUUCAACCUUUAAUGAAAAAAAAAUGCACUCGAAUAUCAACGGUUGAUUCUGUUGUUACUUGUUAUGAUUUGUGUUUGCAAACGUUCACUGAAAAGUGAGUCAAGCUACAAGCCUACAAAUACUAAGUUUUACAUUAAAAUCAAUUUUAAAGACAAAAUUAAUUCUAAUGAUGAACUUCAAACAUACCACCAAAAACAAUUUUAAAAAUCUUUAUAAUCACUUUUGCCUCUCAAAAUUGAAUCCAAACAAGCACUAAAUUAAAUCACUCAUAUUAGAUCAACCAAAUCCAAAAUUCAGAUAUACUCUCUAUCUACUUAUACAAACUUUGAUAUAAAUUUGAAUUCUCUUACCAAAAGAUCUAGAUUACCAAAUUGAUUCUUGAUAAAAUCUACAAAUGAUCUUAUACUUGCAUGAUCUAUGACAUCAAGUUGAUGAAAAACAACAAGACCAGGCAAAGAAAGCUGUUUCAAUUUCUCAACAGCUUCAAGACCUCUCUUUUCAUCUCUUGCAGUAAGCACCACAGUGAUCCCUUUAGAAGCCAAUUGCUUGCAUACUGCAAAUCCUAUUCCUUUGUUUGCUCCUGUAACAACUGCAUAUCUAGAAACAAGAUUANNNNNNNNNNNNNNNNNNNNNNNNNNNNNNNNNNNNNNNNNNNNNNNNNNNNNNNNNNNNNNNNNNNNNNNNNNNNNNNNNNNNNNNNNNNNNNNNNNNNNNNNNNNNNNNNNNNNNNNNNNNNNNNNNNNNNNNNNNNNNNNNNNNNNNNNNNNNNNNNNNNNNNNNNNNNNNNNNNNNNNNNNNNNNNNNNNNNNNNNNNNNNNNNNNNNNNNNNNNNNNNNNNNNNNNNNNNNNNNNNNNNNNNNNNNNNNNNNNNNNNNNNNNNNNNNNNNNNNNNNNNNNNNNNNNNNNNNNNNNNNNNNNNNNNNNNNNNNNNNNNNNNNNNNNNNNNNNNNNNNNNNNNNNNNNNNNNNNNNNNNNNNNNNNNNNNNNNNNNNNNNNNNNNNNNNNNNNNNNNNNNNNNNNNNNNNNNNNNNNNNNNNNNNNNNNNAAUUGAUUCAGCACCUUCAUCAGGUGUUAGAUAACCUGUAUUGUAAUUUAUAUCUGUUUUCACAAAGCCAGGACAAACAGCAUUGAUGCAUAUUGAUGGAUACUUCUUGGCUGCAACUCUUGUAUAGGCACUUAGAGAAGCUUUUGAGAUAAUGUAUGUAGACAUGCUAUUAAUAGGCCAACCUUUAUUUUCUACUAGUGAUCCCUCUUUAAAAUCCUUUAGAAAUUGAUUCAAAACUUCAUCAAUCUUUUCUUCUGUAAGGUUUUCAAUAUCACUCAGUACCUCCUUAGGCCAUCCAUUAGGAAGUUUCUGCAAAUAAAAUUGCAUGAAAAUGAGUAUUAUCCUCCAAUUGCAUAAUAGUUCAAAGUGAAAUAACAUAUAGCACUUUAAAUCCAAUGAAUGAAGCAUUAAUACAUUUUAAGUAGUUUCGAGUUCAAACCCUCGGCUCGGUUAGUGAGCUAAAGGACAACAAAGAAUUUUUAAAAAGGUUGUCGAGAGUUCAAACCCUGAAAAUUUACAUAACCACUAACUUACUAACAUUUGUCUAUAAAAAAAAAAACUAACGAACAAUUUGAUUUAGAUAUUUUCAUUAGAUAAGUUUCU